CUUGUCCCAACCGUACAGAUGAGAAAGCUGAGACUCAGGGCCAGCAACCCGGGUCCCAGCGGAGCGCCCGGCACACGCCGACACUUCAGCACCAGUGGCGGUGGCCACCACUGUGGGCGGAGAUGGCUGCGACGCGUGCGCAGGUAAAGUCUAUGCGCGCCUUGCCUCCCACCGGCGCCUUCCCCGGCCUCUGGUUUUUGUCCCCGCCAGCGGCUCCGACUCCAUCCAGAUCUCGAUCCCAAACUCCCUCCUGCCAGAAUCUGGACCCGAAUCCACCCAUUGCCCGUUUUCCGCUGCCGCUGGAGAGAAUCUCUGAGGUCCCCAGGAGAGCCUGCCUGCACGGAAGAGACGCCUCCUCGAUUAAAUGCUGUUUUCCAUGACCGUCUCUGUUCUUCCCAUACGGGAAUGUGGGAUUGUUGUUAAUGUAAUUAGUUAAGAUGAGGUCAUGCUGUAAUAGGGUGGGCCCCCUAAUCCAAUAUGAUUUGUGUCUUUAUAAAAAAGGGAAAUUUGUGCACAGAGAUAACACAGGGGAUAUGCCAUAUGAAGAUGAA
rnacentral:lncRNA from 1 species